rnacentral:lncRNA from 1 species
UUUGAGUGUUCCGUAACUAUUAAUGGACUCGAUCCUAUGUUAGUAAAUUCAGUGGUUGAAGUUCAGAGCUACAGCCAAAAAGGAUAUUAAGGAUGAGAGCUUUUACUGUCAGACUUCGGUGACUUCACUCAUUUAAUUCAUCCUCUGUCCCUGCAUCCAGCCCUGGAUCUUUUAUUUUAUAUGUGUUUGUCAUACACAUGGAGGGCCUUGUCAAAUCCUAAAAUAGGGCAUGGAGACAGCUUCUUUAUAUGUACUUUGCUUACUUAGAAAUAGAAGGUACCGGAUCAUUAUGCAAGGUUCUCUUUAGAUUUCCAAAAGUAGACUCGAGCCUCAGGACGG